CGUCGCAUUCGUAUGAGUGGUGUCCGCGGUGAUGGCGGUGUCCGACGAUCUGUGUAUACAGGGCACGUCUAAUUGGAAGCAAUUUUUCUAUUCUAACUUACUCGUUUGUAUUUUAGUUUAUUACUGCGUAUUUGAAAACGAAAUAAAAAACACCGUAGGGCAAUUUUACGUAUAAUAGGCACCUACUUAUAUAUUACAUUAACAUUUAAUUAUUAAUUCGCAUUCACACUAUUCGUACAACACUAUAAUCGUUUAACGAGUUAUGAAAAUUAACAAUUAUUUGCGGAUAUACAUAGUGAAACACUCGCGUUGUGUAUUGAAUAAACGACGACGAAGUAUGCUGCAUUAUAAUAAAUAAUGUAACUUAUUAUACGUAAGUAAUAAUUAUUAUACAUUUAUACCACAGUAUUGCAGUAGAACAAGACUUGGUCGAGUUUACGGCAGUGUCCGUAUAUAUCGUAAUGAUAAUAAUAUUAUAAAUACGUCGAUAAUAUCUUUUCACCCAUUUGUAUAGUAGUCGUUACUUGCCAUCGGAGGUUACAAUAAAGCGAUAAACGCAUCCGUUAUAAUUAUAAUAAGUAUUAUUAGCCGACAGUACGUGCAAAAAUUACCAAAAGUCAUAUAGGCACAUCGGUAUAGUUUUGGAUGUACGAAAUACCAAUACAUACUAGACACGAAAACUCAGUAAUCGAUGUCGAACUGCUGUUUGCAGCAUUUUAAUGGUGGCGUUAUUUCAGAUUUUAUACCAGGCAGUACUUAGACAACAGAUCGCGGGAGAAAAAUGUCGACUGGCCCUUUAUAUAAAUAAUAAAUACUUACAGACGAUGGUCUUCUUUUAAAAUUGAUUUUCGCCAUAUUCAACGAUUUAUCAUUGACAAAAUAUAACUCACUAAUAUGGUUCCUUGCUUCGAUAAUUCGAUGCUCGAGUUUACACGUGUUGGACAGGUUAUUAUAGCAGAUGGUACAAACGUGCAGUAAGAUAUGAUGAACGAAUUCAGAAAAUAUGAUCAACCGUCAAAUAAAUAGAAAAGAGCAUUAAAAUGUUAUCCGAUCGUCAAGAGAUUCGCAAUCUUCAAUAUGCAGUUAGUAUUCGAAUCACUUAUUAAUAAAUAAAUCAGUGUAUGUACUUUUUCACUGUAUUAUCAUUAACUUUUGUUGCCAGUUGCUUUGAAUAUAGGUACAAUAUAC